GCCUGUCUCUAGGGAAGUGCUUUGCAAAGGUAGGACUGUCUGCAGUCCUGUGCCUUUGCUCUGCAAUUGGUAGAAGACAGAUGUAUGCUUUUCUCUGUAUGCCCUUCAUAGGAGUUGAUAAAACUGAGGUGAGGUACUGAAAUACAGGACUGGCUCAUAUGUCUACAGGUUGAAAACCUUGUAGCUUUGCUGAUAGGUGAGAGUAUAAAAGCACACUUCUGCAAGGCUUUAUCUGGAGAUCCUGCAAACGUCCAAAUGACAAGACUUGCACUACUGUCCAGUAAAAUUACUGCUUAUAUUUGCACUCAGGAGGCAGAAGCUCCAAGCUGCAUACUGUGGUAAGUGAACUACUCACAGUCCUGGAUAAAGUUGAACAUGAUUCCUAACACAUUGCUCUUUUACCCUGUCAAAAUAUCCAGCAGCAGGAAUCAGCAUUUGCACUUAGUAUGAAAGAGAGUUCAGCCUGCUCGGAUUUCCACUAGUUAACUAGAAGAGCUCUUUUUGUCCUGGCACAGCAUCUUACAGCAGAUCCUGUAAACUACUGAAGCUAGCCACUUACUAGAUCCCAGUCAUGUGACACCUAACACUGUGGAUUCCAUGUUCUGCUUGGGACAGAUGAUGCUUAAGAAAUGGCUGUUUGUGAAAGCUGAGUAGAUUUUACUGCAGUAAGCUCUGGCCUGGCUCAUCUCUUAGGCAACUCUGCUGAAGUUUAGAGUGGACUUGGCUCCUUGGGAGUACGCCAUUCUUCCCUAAAGUACAGGUAUUGCAUUUCCCUAUUUAUGUUUUGAGUGAGGGAUAAGUGUGUUCUAGUCAAGUUGUUGAGUUCUAAGCUGUCUGCUGUGUGCAUAAAGCAAAAAAUAUCCCCAUCUCAAAACACGUACAAUCCAAGCCCAUAAGUGGAAGGUCUCUUCUACCUGAACGCAUUCAAGGAUUCUUACGCAGACACUCUCGUGGGCGUUUGCCUCUUAGUUAAAAUGUUAUCCCAACAUUUUAACACACAAUUCCCAUUUCACACCACCCGCAGUUCUGAAAACUUUCUGACAUGCCUAUUAGCUUGGUAAGCCUGACACCUGAUAUACAGGUUGAUGCUUAACUCACCCAGACUGAUGUUUCAGUAGGAAUUUUAUGAUUUACCACAGCCUAAAUACAUGCAAUAAAAUAUACCAGACAAGAUUUUUCAGCGUGUGAAGGGUGCCCAGUGAUUUGGAGCACCACAACUCCAACUUUGAGUGGAAAGUCCUAGUUUUGUCUCCAACAGAAUGAGCAAAAUAUUUAGCUAUUUGUCCAACUCAGCUGAGCCACAGAACCAUUCCCUAUAGCUCAGCUGCCAUGAGGAGCUGCAUGGAGUCCAAGAACGAACACUAGUAACUAGUCUCUCUGCAUGGAAGUUUCGGCUUAAUUCAGUUGCGCUGCAGCUUGGUUCCAUACACCAACUGAACAUAUUUUUGUCAACCAAUAGAUAACCUAGCCAACAGACAAUCCAGUGCCUUUAUGUAUGAUCCAGCUGCCAGUUUGUGCCUUGUCUUGGUCUGGCAAACAAAAUUAGGCAAAUUUAUUGUCUAUUUAUUCAACUCAAGGCUUCAGGGCCUUAUGCACUGAUUUUAUGGCUGAAACUUUGGAAGUAGACAACUGUGAGGAAUUCUAACGCAAGUAUUUUUCAAAAGUUAAACAGUUGCGCUUGCUGAAUAGGAAGAUGGGUUAUUCCAGACAUUCAGAGCAGAUGAGUCAGUGCAUGUUCCAACAAAGGGCUAGGUUGUCCCUACAGCCUAAUAUAGGGAAGUAGGGAGCAAUGUUUCAUGGCCACUUUGGGUCUUGGUUUGCAGUUCAGUGACAGAGUGAGAAUAAGCGUUGCAUCCAUGAGAGGGAGGAGCCCAUGGGUCAAGUUUGCAUGAUGGCCAUCCCUUGCUUGUGUAGGUGUGAGGGAAAAGGAAUAGAUUGCUCUUCAAAAAGAAAUGAUGACUCUCCUCCCUCCCUCAGGCCAAGAGAAAAAAAGAUAAGAGAAAGAAUUAUAGCUCCAAACCUUUCUUCUGUUUUCACUUCCUUUGGGAAUGCAGCUAUGCGCUGCUGUAGCUCAGAGCUAUCCAGACAAUAAUGAUUCACAUGACAGUAAAGGAUAGCGGUAAAGUAGAAUGGCACCUCCUUCCCUUGAAGAUAUUUGGACUGAGACCAGAAUUUUGAGAGACUGUAUCUUAUAUAGAAGGUUACAUGUGGCCAUAUAGGAUGAGUCACCUGAUUUUUCGGUACAGGAGUUCAGUUUUACACCACUCAAGUCAUGUAAGGAACUUUAAAAACAACGUAACAAAAUCCCGCCUUUUAAUAAUGCCUUUAGGAAUACAAGACUAUUUUAAGUAGCCUUAAAGUAAACAAGAAUCUUGCAUUGUGUACAGAAGUUUUGUGGCAGUGUAAAAUGAGUGUGGCAGAUCUAAACUGUCUAUGUUCAUUUUUUUCCCCAUAUAUGUUAAAAAUCUGGGAAUUUAAAUGCAGGAACAAAUUGAAUCUUAGCUAAUACAGUGCUAGCACAAACAUCACAGUGGCACAAUUAUGAUCUGUCUGUAACACAGUGUUAGCUUAGAAAAGAUGCACAUAUAUAUGGCCACGUUCUGUUCUUACUUUUUGUUCUUUAAUUCUGCCUCAACAUGAUUCAUACUGUAAAAUGUAUCCCUUAAAAAUAAACAUCUACUGAGAAACUUUGGCAUUUUAAUAAACAGUAUGCAAAUAAUAAAUGGGGCAGGGGGAGGACAAAUUAGAAGCCUUGAUAGGUUAUCUGAUCAAGAGGUUCUUAAAUGAAUAAUAGAUUAAUUACUCAUGAGUAGGUUUUCAGGCAUCUUUGUGUGAGGGAUAUUAUUUCUAUUCCCAUCAUUUAUUGUUUAUAGUAAAGAUUUUCAAAGCUGUAGAUGGGAAUCAAGUGUACUACUCCCAUAGAUUUUUCCAUGAGAGUUGGGGGGCUGCCUGUUUUCGCCCCUUUGGAAAACUGUACGAUAUCAAUAUGUGAAUAUUUUGCUUGCAGAGUUAACCUCCCUGAAGUCAGUAGGGUCAGUCUUGGGUGUCAAGUUACUCAUGUGCUCUAUUCAGCUUAGUAGUUCUAGAAUAUUUUCACAAUGAUAAGAGUUAGAUGAGCUGACAUAUUUAUGCCAGUGUGAGAUCACCUCAUAACUCAUGCAUGUGAAGAAUAGUAUGAAUGUGUUAUUCAAAGUACUCCCUAAUGAGGGAAAAUAUUUCAGACUACAUAGAGCUCAUUUUAUAGAUCAAGUUGUAUACUUCAAUGUAUUUAAAGUUUUAAAGAGUUUGACCUUAUUUUAGUUUUACUGCUGAGUUUGCUAUUAGCCAUAAG